GUUUUUUUUUUAAAUCACUGAUUUGUAUGUGCCCUGCAGGUAACGCUUCUGAAAUGCUGCCCUCUUAUUUCAUGUAACUAAAUUACUGUUUCUGGCCCAUAUGAUAGUGUGAAAUAUAUCACAGGAACACAGCUUGUAAGCGUGGAAAAUCCAGUCAGAUCCCUUGGCUAGAACAGGCAGCUGUCAAACCUCACACCGGCUUGCCAUGUUGAAAUACCGAAUCUGGUACCUCUCGUUCUGUGUGCGCGAUACCGGGUCUCCCGUUGUAUUCUGCUCAACUAGUCAGACCGGAUUGAUGAGUAGUCAGGCUUCAGUUCUCCUGGGAUGCCGGGGGGUGUGCACUGGUGUCUUCGACCUUAUGCUAUGGAAACUACCUUUGUUUUCCCUUUCCUCCUAGGUGCAGAGGCUGUAGCGAUGAGUAGUAAAGGCUAUCGGCGAGAGAGUUUCCAGAGCAGCACUAGUGAUGAAGACCUGGUGGAGAUAGCCGGAGGAGCUCUGGACUUCUCCCUGACAGAUGACGAUCCCCCACUGGAUAGAGAGAUGUUGGGAGGGUUCUCCUUAUACAAUGGAGGAGGGAUGAACGGCACAAGCCACAUGAUGGACUUUCUGGAGGAACCUCUGCCGGGGGUGGGUACCUAUGAAGAUUUCAAUACCAUCGACUGGGUGAGAGAGAAAUCCAGAGACCGGGACAGGCACAGAGAGAUUGCUAGUAAAAGUAAAGAGUCAACAUGGGCCCUGCUUCAGAGCGUGAGCGAUGCCUUUUCUGGCUGGCUGCUGAUGCUUCUCAUAGGGUUGUUAGCAGGUUCUCUAGCGGGUCUGAUAGACAUCUCUGCCCACUGGAUGACCGAUUUGAAAGAAGGGCUGUGUCUGACAGGCUUCUGGUUUAACCAUGAACACUGCUGCUGGAAUUCCAAUGAGACCACCUUUGAGGAUAGGGAUAAAUGCCCGCAAUGGGAGACCUGGUCACAGCUUAUACUUGGCCAUGGAGAGGGGGCAUUUGCGUACAUUCUCAAUUACUUCAUGUAUGUUCUUUGGGCACUGGUAUUCUCUCUGCUGGCAGUGUUACUCGUCAGGGGAUUUGCGCCUUAUGCUUGUGGCUCAGGAAUCCCGGAGAUCAAAACGAUCUUGAGCGGUUUCAUCAUUCGCGGCUAUUUGGGCAAGUGGACCCUGAUCAUCAAAACUGUUACAUUGGUGUUGGCAGUAUCGUCAGGCUUGAGUUUGGGGAAAGAGGGCCCUUUGGUGCACGUUGCUUGCUGCUGUGGAAACAUCUUGUGUCACCUUUUCACCAAAUACCGAAAAAACGAAGCCAAGCGCAGAGAGGUUUUGUCAGCUGCUGCAGCUGCUGGCGUGUCUGUAGCGUUUGGUGCACCAAUCGGAGGGGUGUUGUUCAGUCUGGAAGAGGUGAGUUACUACUUUCCCCUCAAGACUCUGUGGAGAUCUUUCUUUGCCGCCCUGGUAGCAGCGUUCACCUUGCGCUCCAUCAACCCUUUUGGCAACAGCCGCCUGGUUCUGUUUUACGUGGAGUUUCACACCCCUUGGCACCUGCUGGAGCUGGUGCCGUUCAUCCUGUUGGGAAUAUUCGGUGGCCUUUGGGGAUCUUUCUUUAUUCGCAGCAACAUUGCCUGGUGCAGACGCCGCAAGACGACCAAGCUCGGCAAGUACCCUGUGCUGGAGGUCAUUGUCGUCACGGCCAUCACGGCCAUCCUGGCUUUCCCCAACGAGUACACCCGCAUGAGCACCAGCGAGCUGAUCUCCGAACUCUUCAACGACUGCGGGCUGCUGGAUUUCUCCAAGCUCUGCGAGUACGUCAACGACUUCAACAGCACCAAAGGGGAUGAUCUGCCGGACCGAGCGGCCGGCCCGGGAGUCUACACAGCCAUGUGGCAGCUGGCUCUGGCCUUGAUCCUAAAAGUCUUCAUCACCAUAUUCACGUUUGGCAUGAAGGUCCCUUCGGGUCUCUUCAUUCCCAGCAUGGCGGUUGGCGCCAUCGUGGGCAGACUCCUAGGCGUGGGAAUGGAGCAGCUGGCUUACUAUCACCACGACUGGGCUAUAUUCAGCGGCUGGUGCAGUCAAGGGGCUGACUGCAUCACUCCUGGCCUUUAUGCAAUGGUUGGGGCUGCAGCGUGUCUAGGUGGAGUCACCCGGAUGACCGUGUCGCUGGUGGUGAUUAUGUUUGAGCUCACGGGGGGACUGGAAUACAUUGUACCUCUCAUGGCUGCCGCCAUGACUAGCAAGUGGGUGGCAGAUGCCAUUGGGCGGGAGGGCAUCUACGACGCCCAUAUUCGUCUCAACGGUUACCCUUUCCUGGAAGCCAAGGAGGAGUUCUCCCACAAGACUCUGGCCAUGGACGUCAUGAGGCCCCGGCGGAACGACCCCGUUCUGACUGUCCUCACGCAGGACAGCAUGACCGUGGAGGACGUGGAGGCCAUAAUCAACGAAACCACGUACAGCGGCUAUCCGGUGGUGGUGUCCCGGGAGUCCCAGAGACUAGUGGGGUUUGUCCUCCGGCGGGAUCUCAUCAUCUCAAUUGAAAAUGCCCGGAAGAAGCAGGAUGGAAUUGUGAGCACCUCAGUUAUUUAUUUCACUGACCACUCUCCUCCGCUGCCUCCGAGCUCCCCGUCCAUGCUUAAGCUCAGGAGCAUCCUGGACCUCAGCCCCUUCACCGUGACGGACCAAACGCCCAUGGAGAUAGUUGUGGAUAUAUUCCGCAAGCUGGGACUGCGCCAGUGUCUCGUCACUCACAACGGGAAGCUGCUUGGGAUCAUUACCAAAAAGGACGUAUUAAAGCACAUUGCACAGAUGGCUAAUCAAGACCCGGAUUCCAUACUCUUCAAUUAAAAACAGACCCAUACGUAUGGGGUGUUCAACACACAGACCUGGGAUUCCCUCCUCUAUUUUUAUUAAGAAACUGGAGCGAUCUUCAGGGUUUUCCUGUAUGGAGCUGAAGAUCAUGUUUUUCUACAAAAUAACCAAUUGCACUACGUAAUCUGUGGGAAAUAAUCUUCUCUUUAGAAGACCAGACUUUAUUAUAAUGCUUUUGUGAAGUUGCAUUGGAAAGAUUCCGUGAAGGAGUAAAAGCAAAAUGCUACAGAAUUAAGUCUGUUCCCUUUCUUUUAUUUGAACGUUGAUAACUAAUGUUGGGAGGGGAAGAAAGCCAAGCUACCUUUUAAGCCUUCAAAAGCCACGGAGGAGAAGAAUGGCCCACAGCACUGAGAGACACCAAGGGCCACAAAUUGCCAGACAGCUGCUUGGUGAAAACACAAAUCUCCUAGUAUGCUUAGGCGUCUAAAAGCAAUCGGCACAAUGGUAAGAGGGCUUUUUAGUUCUCUGUUGGAACCCCAGGUAAAUCUACGUAUUCCUGCAUGCAGGUCCAGCUACGGGAGCACUUGGUUCUGCUUCUAAUCAGGACGAAGCUUCUGUUUGUCUUCUCUCACUGGAUUAAGUUACCUGCUGAUUUGCUCAUCGAAAAGUACCCAAAGGGGGAGCUGCCAGUUACGUUCAUGCCACUCUCCUCUGGUUGGCUAAGAGCAAGGGUUUGUCCUUCUCUAUCAUGAGCCAUGAAAGUGUUAACAGAGUCCUGAGUUUAUCGCCUGUGUUUUACUGUGCUCCUUCCACACAACCCCUGAUCAUGUUACAGCUUUUGCACAGCUGACCUCUUAGCCUUCAACAUAAGACACUGCUGAGUAAGGAGUCAAGUCAGCAGACCAGACUGUUACCACCACGUCAGUAUCUCCGGCUUGGAAAAUCAACACCGGGACUUUGUCUUCCGGAUCCGUGUGCAGCGGGAGACAGCUGUUUGGUCCCUCUCUGACAGGAGUGGGAACCGUUGGCAGCUCCCCACAAGCAGGUUUGUGUGUCUAGAGCUCUCCUCAGUUAUCAGCGAGUUGCCGUUGGAGUCUGUUUACCGUGAAGCUGUAGGAUUUUCAGAGUCCUGCCCCUGGCUGCUCAGAACAAUGCCCAGGGUUCCCAGGGUUGGUUAGAACGCCACAAAAAGCUAUUUGGGGCUAAACUAGAAUCCACCCUACCCCAAACAAAUCUCAUUCAUCCAGAGAACAAGUGUCGUUUUGUGUACCCCCCGCCAUGUUCCUGACGCAGAACUUGGCUUUCUUCUCACACAUCAGGGAGGCAAGGAAUGGCGGGAAGCUCUUGUGUCUUGCAGCUGCCUUAGGUGUGGAAGACUCAAAUGCUCAACCAGAUGCACCUAAUGGUCCCAGUUUUGUGUCUUUGGCCAUGUCGACACUAGGAAAUUAGUAAAUUCAACAUCUGGCUUAACAAUCAAACUAUUAAUGGAGAUUGCCUAUCUCCUAGAACUGAAAGGGACCUUAAAUGGCCAUCUGGUCCAGUCCCCUGCCUUCACAGCAGGACCAAGUACCAUCCCUGACAAAUUUUUGCCCCCAAAUGGCCUCCAAAAGGAUUGAACUCACGACCCUGGGUUUAGCAGGCCAAUGCUCAAACCACUGAGCUAUCCCCCUCCCCCAUGUCUGUGCUACAGGGAAGCCUCAAAAUGGAUCCAAGGCCGGUUCCGUUAACGGGGAUGUGCUACCUCAGAGCCCAAGGGAGCACGGCGGGGGAGGGGCAAAGAGGGAAGUGGUUUGAAUGGUUCGUUAUUUCGAAAUAGCACCGGUGCAUCCACACUCCUGGCAUUUCAUAGUAACCAUUUCAAAAUGAGCGUUCUUCCCUGAGGAAAGCAGGAGGACAGAUUUCGAAUUACGCAGCCCGUUCUAUCGAAACAAGGGGCUUGGUCGCGCGGACGCCCCGCUUAUAAACGCGACCAAAGGGGAAUUAUUUAGAGAUCAAGUGCUGUCAAGUGCGUCAUGUGUUGGGCUCCCGUGUCCCACGGGGAAGGAGCUACUGGUUACUGCCGUGUGGGAGCGGGACGGCAAACACCGCGGGGUGCAACGUGGCAGAGAGCUAGGCCAGGAUCACCCCCGGCUUUAGCCCACUCAACGUGCGUCGGGUCGGCACGUGUGCCACGGAGAGGAUCUGGUGCUGCUCCUACCAGAAGCCACGGGUGUAGACGUGGUACCGAGCUGCAAAAACAAGCCAGACGUUCCAGAGGAGAAAGGGUUUUGCUGGAAUGCUGCUCACGAAAUAAAAUUUCCGGCACUGAAAGGCUUUGGGUCUUAAUGGCAGGAAAUCCCUGCCUGUCGUCCUAUCGGAGCGAGGUGCGAGCCGACCGACUGUUGGUCUCCGGCAGCGUUUCUAUGGGUUUGCUUUGGUUUCGCACUGCGUCCUUCUGAGCCGCCAG